AAACCGGAGGACGAGGAAAUUGCCUCGUACAUCCUCACUAGAAUCGACACCACCUUUGACCCUGUCGUGUCCUCCAUGGCGUCCUGUGUCGAGCCUCUCACCCUCAGCGACCUCUACACCCAGCUAGUGAGUUGGGA
rnacentral:snoRNA from 1 species